rnacentral:rRNA from 1 species
UACGUAGGGUGCGAGCGUUGUCCGGAAUUAUUGGGUGUAAAGAGCUUGUAGGCGGUCUGUCGCGUCUGCUGUGAAAAUCCGGGGCUCAACCCCGGACUUGCAGUGGGUACGGGCAGACUAGAGUGUGGUAGGGGAGACUGGAAUUCCUGGUGUAGCGGUGAAAUGCGCAGAUAUCAGGAGGAACACCGAUGGCGAAGGCAGGUCUCUGGGCCUCUACUGACGCUGAGAAGCGAAAGCAUGGGGAGCGAACAGG